AGAAAGAGAGACAGAGAGAGAUAGAAAGGUGCUCAUUAUGCACACACAGCAGUACAGCACUGUAGCCCGGCGUCACUGAGCAGGAGGGGUGAAGGAAGAGAGAGAGAGAGAGAGAGAGAGAGAAAGAGAGGGCGAGAGAGGUUUGGAGAGAACAGUGCAGUUUGCUGCAGUAAAAACCUGAUUUUGUGCAUCCGCUCACUUCUUCUCUCCCUUUCCUCUGUGUUACUGUAGAAAAGAGACAUGUUUGAAAUGCUUCUGAUUUAGUUGCUUUUAAAGUAUUAGGCUAUUUCAAUCCAUUUUGCUCUCUUUCUGAUCCUAUCCCAUCUCUGUUUGCCCCCCUCCCUUACCUUUUCUCCGUCUCUCUUCCAGCAACAACCCCCCCAUCCCUUGCUCUCCAAUUCCGCAUUAAGGAAUCGCAACUCACUGAGAACGACUCUAGAGUCCAGCACCAGUAUCACUUACUUUUCUCUUUUCCACUACUGUACAUCACCUCCUUUAAGCCUAUUCCCUCUUCAUUUCAUUUCACAAGCACUUUAUUCCUCUUCCAUCAGUCUUUUUUUCCUGUUUUAUUAUUUUUGCCAGCUAGAAGCUAAUUUCCUCCAUUUUCUGCCACUUUAAUUUCUAUUCUAUUCUAUUUUUUUCUAGGCAGUCUGGAGAAUGAGUUAGUCAACUCUCACAGAACUGCCUUUAGACGGCUUGAGCAAGAGGGAGAUAGAAAGAAAGUCAAGAAAGAGGAUGGACAUUUUAAAGUAAGGGGGCUCACAAAGAGAAGGUGAGAAAGACAACCAGAAAAAGAGCAGAAAGGCAAGAAAAAACAGGGUUCAGAGAUCAUGUGAACAGCAUGAGAAAUCCUGACUCACAGCGUGAGGGAGACAAGAUGUCACGCGUGGGCGGGGGGAGGACUCACGCGAGUGCGGUAGGUGAUUGUGACGUGGCGCGGUCGGC